rnacentral:misc_RNA from 1 species
GUCGGGGUCGCUCAUGAUGGUGAUCAUGGAUGUGUGAAUAUCGUGAUUACUGACAUGGACAAAGCAGUUACAUGUGUCAUAUUGCGGUACCUAUGGACAGUUACGCUAGCUAAUGAUGACAAAUUGUUUCAGGUUCCCCACACCACAACUUAUGGAUGACUCUUUCUAACAGUUGGGGUGCUCCUAUGAAAGCUGUCAUGUUGGACCAGUUUUGAUGCUUGUAUUGUCGCUGCUGGUUCAUAGAUUCAAACAUGGAAUUCGGGCAGAGGGAAUCAGAUGAAGCUCUUUUACAAAAACCUCCAGCCAUGACAUUUAAGUUUGCCCCAACAAGACUUUCGAGGCCAAACUUUCUUCCACCUAUUGUGUGUUCUCGAAGACUGUACAUUCAGAUAACUCUUGCCAUAAUGCUUGUUGCCAUAGUAGUGAUUGUGCGAGCAUUGUCGAACAUGCGUGUAGUGUUUGUACAAUUCCAUAAUGAAAGUGACACAGAUGGUGAGCUUGUGAUUUUACCAGAGGACUUCUCUGCCCCUAGAGGAGCGUAUUGUCUGGAUGGGUCCCCACCAGCAUUUUAUCUCCGACAUGGUGAGAUCAGUGCUGAGAACAACUGGCUGCUGCACCUCCAGUCUGGGGGCUGGUGUGUGUCUCCCACGGACUGCUACCACAGGAGCUUCACCGAGCUGGGAUCAAGCCAGUCUGCCCACACCUCUGCUCUGUUUGAGGGUAUCCUGUCCAGCGAUGAGAGGGUCAACCCAGACUUCUUCACCUGGAACACUGCCCAGUUUCUGUACUGUGAUGGGAGCUCUUUCACAGGUAACAAGUCAGGUGUGUUGGAUGUGCAAUCACGGCAACUGUAUUUGCGAGGUGGGGCAGUCUUUGAGACUUUGAUCGAGUACCUGCUGUCUCACACCAGCCUGGCCACAGCACAUCAUGUCAUCCUUGCUGGGUCAUCAGCUGGAGGGCUUGCAGCUCUUCUCCAAGCUGACCGGUUGAGGGAGAAGCUGCCUUCAUCAGUGAAGACCCUGCAUGUGCUGGUGGAUGGCUCCCUGUUCGUGGAUCAACCAGAUGCCAAUCAACAGCAUGUCAUGGCGGAGAUGCUGCACAACACUUACAAUCUCCACAACCUCAGAGAAUCCUUGGUGCUGAAGGAGUGUACAGGGAACCUCCCAGAGCAGGUUCGGUGGCGCUGUUUCCUGCCUGAGGUGUUCUACAAGCAUGUGUUCACGCCAAUGUUCUUUGUCAACUCCCUGUAUGACACAUGGUACUCGUCGGCCACACUGAGUAUCUCCUGUACUCGGGCUGGACUCUGCCCCCCCAGGAAUAUGCAAGUGUUGGACAGGGUGAAGCAGGCUAUCCUCCAACACUCGCAGGACCUCCUAGCGUCGGGGAAGAACGGUGUGUUCCUAACGUCCUGUCCCGCUCACACCAUGCUGCCUAAUCCAAGAUUCAACAGCAUGAAAGCAGGACAACUGACCAGUCAAGAUGCUAUAUCGAUGUGGCUCAAACACAACAAAAAGGGAUAUAAUGUUUCAGAGAGCAUUGACUUAAAUGACUCUGCCCAUUACUGCAAAUUGUUCUAUUGACCCAGUUGCUUGGAAGGCUGUGAGUGGGUGCCUAAUGCCUGUCUGUCCCUAGCCUGGUCAUACAGAAGCUAUUCUAAAGUACUAUAAGGAGAUUUGUCUCCAAAUACAUCAGCACAUGUUCUUAUUUGGCACAAGAUUUUGUUUUGCAAUUUGUCUACAAAAGUAUUGAUUGGUCAAUAUGAAAAAUUCAAAUUCAACAACUAUUUAAAGCUGGCUUCAUUUUUUUUACAUUCUGAAUAUUCUCAGGUGACAGUUAAAGGGAGCUGUUAUUUCUUUCCGCAUCAAACUUUGCUUAUCUGUCAGCUUUAACAGACCACCUAGGUCUCAUAGUUGCCAUAGAAACUGGUGUAAAGAUUGGUUGAAGUGUCAGUCUAGUGCAGUUGUCCUCAUUCCAUGGAGUCAAGACAGAAAAUGUUCACCUAGAUUCCAUGCUAGGCUAUCAAUAGAUAGCACUUCAAUGCAGAACAGGUGGAUAUCAAAGCUACUUCCUUUUGCUCCUCAACAAUCCACUGAAUCAAGGAAAUGUGGGAGGACAUCGUAGGACAAGACAUCAUUCAAGUACUUACGCUUUAUCUUCAUUAUUGUGCAAUCACAAUAGUUUUGGAAUAGCAUGGAUAGAGUUGUAAGUAGGAUUAAGAUGAAUGACAGGUGUUACGUUUUCACUGGCAUAUACAUUUAGUUUCCAAAUAACUAACCCAAAUCAAUGGCGGGUGAAAAACUAUGCGGUUUAUUACAUAACAAUCUCAUAUCCAAGAGGGCAAAUAAGGGAGGUAAUUCGAAUGCAAGUAUUGGCACCGAUAAAGUAGAGAGUCUGUGGAUCGAUACUGGUCAUGGUAUUAUAUCUUUUAUUCAAUACACAACAACAGAUAUCUGGCGGACUGUUGCAGUUGGGAAAGAAAUCCAUUUUUGAUGUUAUUUAGAUGAUCAUAAGGCAGGCCAACUAUGAACAAAGGCAUCGUCAUGUUUCUGGAAGAGACGCACUGUCAUGUUCCUGGAAGAGAUGCACUGUCAUGGUUCUGGAAGAGAUGCACUGUCAUGUUUCUGGAAGAGAUGCACUGUCAUGUUUCUGGAAGAGAUGCACUGUUGUAUAGAGAAGCAGUGAAAAGGCAGUGGGCAAGUUACAAAUUGAUGUGAGAGGUCUACACCAGGAAGAGAGACUGCCAUGAUAUAAUUCAGCCAGAAUGUGAUGACGGGAUGUGCUUGUUGGUUUUCUGUUUACAGCAGUAGGAUCAGUUCACUGAGAAAGGAUAUGUUUGGGUUCAAUGCACUUUGCUGGGCCCUAUCUGUAUGUACUGUUGCAAAUCAUGUCUUCUUUUACAAUUGAUCAAUUAUUUGUGAACGUGGUCUAUGAGGGGUGUUUGCUCCCUUUUCAGUAUUACUGUUAGUGACAAGGGUAAUUACCAAGGACAGGGUACAUGUUUACAUGUCUCCCUGCACAUGAUAAGACUGUUUUAACAACCACCCAUAACACCUAACACUCUCACUAUAAGCUUUGAACAAUUAACAGUUUCAAUUUGCCUGGUUUGUGGAUGUGAAGUAGCGCAGCAUGGAAAUGUGCCAAACAUAUGUGAAUUCGCAAAUAGAUUGCCAAAUGAUGUUAUACAACAAUGACUUGUCAUUCAGCCCCGAAGAAGACAAUCUGCUGUGGAUCUGCGCCUGUUUUGCUAUAGUAGUGCAGUAGUGUCUCUACUGUCUGGACCAAAGGUCACACCUAGAAAUUGUGGAGAGAGAACAAAAGAGGAUACAUUGAGUUGAGCAUGUUGAGCUUGCAUUCAAGGGUACUCCUUCUAUCUGUGAUACAGUGAUUGUAUGACUUUAGGAGCAAUGAUAUUUAAAAGGCUAUUGUAGUGUGUGUUGGUAAGCCUGCAUGUCAAGAUACUGGGGAAUCCAAGACUGAACAGCUGUUCAUCUCACUGAUAGAUUAGGCCGACCCUGUCAAUUAUGAACAUGUGUUAUUGCUGUGGAUGGACAAUGUGUACCCGGUCCUGAUGGGUACAGGCACCUAGCAGUGACAGCAAUACAUCUGACACUGCUGGAAGUGGUCCUGAUGGGUACAGACACCUAGCAGUGACAGCAAUACAUCUGACACUGCUGGAAGUAGUCCUGAUGGGUACAGACACCUAGCAGUGACAGCAAUACAUCGGACACUGUGGACCCGGUCCUGAUGGGUACAGACACCUAGCUGUGACAGCAAUACAUCGGACACUACUGGAAGUGGUCCUGAUGGGUACAGACACCUAGCAGUGACAGCAAUACAUCUGACACUGCUGGAAGUGGUCCUGAUGGGUACAGACACCUAGCAGUGACAGCAAUACAUCGGACACUGCUGGAAGUGGUCCUGAUGGGUACAGACACCUAGCAGUGACAGCAAUACAUCUGACACUGCUGGAAGUGGUCCUGAUGGGUACAGACACCUAGCAGUGAUAGCAAUACAUCUGACUCUGUGGACCCGGUCCUGAUGGGUACAGACACCUAGCAGUGAUAGCAAUACAUCUGACACUGUGGACCCGGUCCUGAUGGGUACAGACACCUAGCAGUGACAGCAAUACAUCUGACACUGCUGGAAGUGGUCCUGAUGGGUACAGACACCUAGCAGUGACAGCAAUACAUCUGACACUGCUGGAAGUAGUCCUGAUGGGUACAGACACCUAGCAGUGACAGCAAUACAUCGGACACUGUGGACCCGGUCCUGAUGGGUACAGACACCUAGCAGUGACAGCAAUACAUCUGACACUGUGGACCCAGUCCUGAUGGGUACAGACACCUAGCAGUGACAGCAAUACAUCUGACACUGCUGGAAGUGGUCCUGAUGGGUACAGACACCUUGCAGUGACAGCAAUACAUCGGACACUGCUGGAAGUGGGCCUGAUGGGUACAGACACCUAGCAGUGACAGCAAUACAUCUGACACUGCUGGAAGUGGUCCUGAUGGGUACAGACACCUUGCAGUGACAGCAAUACAUCUGACUCUGUGGACCCAGUCCUGAUGGGUACAGGCACCUAGCAGUGACAGCAAUACAUCUGACACCGCUGGAAGUGGUCCUGAUGGGUACAGACACCUAGCAGUGACAGCAAUACAUCUGACACUGCUGGAAGUGGUCCUGAUGGGUACAGACACCAUGCAGUGACAGCAAUACAUCGGACACUGCUGGAAGUGGUCCUGAUGGGUACAGACACCUAGCAGUGACAGCAAUACAUCUGACACUGCUGGAAGUGGUCCUGAUGGGUACAGACACCUUGCAGUGACAGCAAUACAUCGGACACUGCUGGAAGUGGUCCUGAUGGGUACAGACACCUAGCAGUGAUAGCAAUACAUCUGACUCUGUGGACUCGGUCCUGAUGGGUACAGACACCUAGCAGUGACAGCAAUACAUCUGACUCUGUGGACCCGGUCCUGAUGGGUACAGACACCUAGCAGUGACAGCAAUACAUCGGACACUGCUGGAAGUAGUCCUGAUGGGUACAGACACCUAGCAGUGACAGCAAUACAUCUGACACUGCUGGAAGUGGUCCUGAUGGGUACAGACACCUAGCAGUGACAGCAAUACAUCUGACUCUGUGGACCCAGUCCUGAUAGGUACAGACACCUAGCAGUGACAGCAAUACAUCUGACUCUGUGGACCCGGUCCUGAUGGGUACAGACACCUAGCAGUGACAGCAAUACAUCCGACACUGCUGAAAGUGGUCCUGAUGGGUACAGACACCUUGCAGUGAUAGCAAUACAUCUGACACUGCUGGAAGUGGUCCUGAUCGGUACAGACACCUAGCAGUGAUAGCAAUACAUCUGACUCUGUGGACCCGGUCCUGAUGGGUACAGACACCUAGCAGUGACAGCAAUACAUCUGACUCUGUGGACCCAGUCCUGAUAGGUACAGACACCUUGCAGUGACAGCAAUACAUCUGACUCUGUGGACCCAGUCCUGAUAGGUACAGACACCUUGCAGUGACAGCAAUACAUCGGACACUGCUGGAAGAGGUCCUGAUGGGUACAGACACCUUGCAGUGACAGCAAUACAUCGGACACUGCUGGAAGUAGUCCUGAUGGGUACAGACACCUAGCAGUGACAUCAAUACAUCUGACUCUGUGGACCCAGUCCUGAUGGGUACAGACACCUUGCAGUGACAGCAAUACAUCUGACUCUGUGGACCCGGUCCUGAUAGGUACAGACACCUAGCAGUGACAGUAAUACAUCUGACUCUGUGGACCCGGUCCUGAUAGGUACAGACACCUAGCAGUGACAGUAAUACAUCUGACACUGCUGGAAGUGGUCCUGAUGGGUACAGACACCUUGCAGUGACAGCAAUACAUCGGACACUGCUGGAAGUGGUCCUGAUGGGUACAGACACCUUGCAGUGACAACAAUACAUCGGACACUGCUGGAAGUGGUCCUGAUUGGUACAGACACCUAGCAGUGAUAGCAAUACAUCUGACUCUGUGGACCCGGUCCUGAUGGGUACAGACACCUAGCAGUGACAGCAAUACAUCUGACUCUGUGGACCCGGUCCUGAUAGGUACAGACACCUAGCAGUGACAGUAAUACAUUGGACACUGCUGGAAGUGGUCCUGAUGGGUACAGACACCUAGCAGUGAUAGCAAUACAUCUGACACUGCUGAAAGUGGUCCUGAUGGGUACAGACACCUAGCAGUGACAGCAAUACAUCUGACACUGCUGGAAGUGGUCCUGAUGGGUACAGACACCUAGCAGUGACAGCAAUACAUCUGACACUGCUGGAAGUGGUCCUGAUGGGUACAGACACCUAGCAGUGACAGCAAUACAUCUGACACUGCUGGAAGUGGUCCUGAUGGGUACAGACACCUAGCAGUGACAGCAAUACAUCUGACACUACUGGAAGUGGUCCUGAUGGGUACAGACACCUAGCAGUGACAGCAAUACAUCUGACACUGCUGGAAGUGGUCCUGAUGGGUACAGACACCUAGCAGUGACAGCAAUACAUCUGACACUGUGGACCCGGUCCUGAUGGGUACAGGCACCUAGCAGUGACAGCAAUACAUCUGACACUGCUGGAAGUGGUCCUGAUGGGUACAGACACCUAGCAGUGACAGCAAUACAUCUGACACUGCUGGAAGUGGGCCUGAUGGGUACAGACACCUAGCAGUGACAGCAAUACAUCUGACACUACUGGAAGUGGUCCUGAUGGGUACAGACACCUAGCAGUGACAGCAAUACAUCUGACACUGCUGGAAGUGGUCCUGAUGGGUACAGACACCUAGCAGUGACAGCAAUACAUCUGACACUGCUGGAAGUGGUCCUGAUGGGUACAGACACCUUGCAGUGACAGCAAUACAUCUGACACUGCUGGAAGUGGUCCUGAUGGGUACAGACACCUAGCAGUGACAGCAAUACAUCUGACACUGUGGACCCGGUCCUGAUGGGUACAGACACCUAGCAGUGACAGCAAUACACCGGACACUACAGGAAUUUGAAUAUUCACUUGUAUUGUUUUGUGAAUUGGAAGAAAGGCCAUUAAAAUCUUAACUUUUCACUUAUGAUGAUACAGUACCAUGGCUGGACAUUAAAAUCUGUAAGUGGUUGUUUAUUAAGAUCGAGUCCAUUAUAUGUGGCAUUGAAAGUAGCUGAGGCUAAUUUUUAAGGCUAUAUAAACAAGUCAAUACAGGCAACAGAAAAUAGAGGAUGAUCAACUAAUUAACAUUGUUGCUGAUGUUAUUUAAUAUGAAGAAUAACAAGUAAAAGCUAAGAGAAAGAAGGAAGCAAUGAUGCUGUCUGCUUGUUCAGCAUACCCACCUUGAUGGCUUUCUACCAAUACUCAGUGUUGGCUUUGAUGUAUUUUUCGGAAUUGAAUGUUGUCGUGAGUAUUGUUUUUUCGAAAUAAUUAAGUGUCAUUAUAGUUGAUGACUCCAUGGAGGCAUUUUGUGAAAUUUUACAGUAUUUUACAGUAUUUUAGUGUAUCCAUGACCCCUCUAAAAUAUCAAAUAUAUCUGUCAUGCUUAUUUUCAUAAGCCCAUUUGUUUCUCUACACUUGCACUGUGUGUUGUAUAGGAGGUUUGUGAUAUUUUUGUACUUUAUGUUUUAACCUUUAGCCUGCUGAAUUGUUUUCACACUUCUUAGCCCUGCCUGCUGGAUUAAUUUUAGCAUAAGGCGCUGUAAAGAGGGUGGGUGAUUUCAAACAGUUGGUGCUUCAUUAUACAAGGGCCAAUUGAAGAAAUAUUUUGCACAUUUAUUCGUGAUAGAAAAUUACACAGUACUAUGUAAAAAAAUCCUGAUGUUUUCAAUCAUACCAAGGUUAAGACCAAAACGAACACAAAAUUUAUAAAUGUUCGUGAUCUUGCCUGAAUUACGUUAUUAAAGGUGGUUUACGUUUCAUGUAAGGAACCUUUUUAAAUCGUUAAAUUUGUGCAAAUUGAUUUCAAUAAUCAGAUCUCCGAUAUCUUAAUUUUAACUGAGUAUAAAUUCGAUGUUUUUUAUUGGUAAAUAACAGCGCGAUGGUAAAUUAUGAACCAUUUCUGUAAAUUUAUCAUCAAAACGUUAAACAGAAAAAAAACUAAAUUUUCGAGGUCACCAUGUCAGUUGCAGAAAUACGAACAUUCGAGUUAAUCUAACAUGUCACGUUAUCAAAUUUGCAGGAAACAAUAAAUGCCCCAAUAAAUGACUCAUAAAUAUUCACCAAUCCUUAUUUCAAGUGUUUUGGUUGAAUAUUUACGAUAUACGUAAACACAAGGACCGUGUCAUGAUGCUAGCAGACGUUCGAACAUCAAACAUGGCGCGCUUCGCCCGACCUCGGCAUAACUUAUUGCUAGUUUAAUAUCAACAAAGUUUACACUGUCUUCAUGUAUAUGCCUUGGCGAAAGUUGACAAUCUUCACAAUCGAAGAUUGUUUCAUUUGUCAUUUUCCGUUUAAUAUGACGAGAGAAAAACCAAAAUAAAGAUCGUAAAUUCUGACAGCAAUAUUUCAGUUUGUGCAAAGGUCACCGGAUGUGAUGUCACAGACAGGGGUAGUCUGCUGAUAAUCUUUCGAAACAAAACAAUUUUGAAAUAUUUCGCCUGUAUUAUACAGAAUAAACACAAAUCACUACAUAUUAUCAGUAAUCACCACUAACAUGAAAUUACAAAGUGAUUUUCAAGAUAUAAUUGGCGUAUUUUUUUAAUCCGUUUGACCUUGCAUGCUCCCUUGACCCGGAAACGGGAGACGAUGAAUCAACACGCCACAUGCAAGUUUCUCGGUAUCUUUUAUUUGAACUUUUGUUGAUAUAUAAGGAUCACCAUUCCAUGUUACGUUGAAUAUAAAGUGAUAUGAUUCAUGUAUCUGCGAUGUACAUGCUGAUGACUUUGUUUUCACUAUAAUAAUUAUGUGUGUGAAGCAAUAAGUCGAAAUCGUCGAUCGGCAACGAUCACACCCCAUAACAGGUGCGCGAAAAUAGGCGUGACAAAACGUGUUUCAAAAUACAGUAGCAUUCAUGCGAUGCCGAAUAUGAUAGGAUAUACGCAGGUGGGUGAUGUAUAUAUAAAAAAAAUAUACAUAUUUUCAGUGUUAGUUUCUAAUUAAAUGUGGGAUAUUUAAAUAAGUUUUCCUUUUAUAAUACAUUUAUCGAUUCUAGCAGGAUUUUACAACAAUUCACGGAUGAUCUUAAAAUAUAUUCCAUCAAUAUAGAGACCGCCAUGAUUGCGUAUUGAUGAUAGAUUUGUUAAUGUUUAAUUAUUUACAUCUGUUCACAGCUUCUAAAAUAUUAAGUUAUUUUUAGUAUCUUUUUUUCCACCAAUGAUCAUGUGUAUGGAUAUUAAAUAUUGGUCAACAGGUCAAUGCAUCAGCACAGUGUAACUGAUCAGACUUAAUUAUUAUCUUUAGUUUAAACAUAUUUUAUUCAACAAUUGUUAUCUUUCACCUGAACAUAUAUUAUGUGAAUAAGUAACUAUUUGAUGUCAUUAUUUAAGUUUAGUAUUUCACACAAAAAAUAUAGAAAUAGAUAAGAUCCUUAUAUGAACCUAUACAUACACAACUCAUAUGGACAUUAAUCUUGUGUAUGAAGUUGUUUGUUUCCAAAAAAAUAAUUCUUAAAUAUAAUUGUAAUAUGAAUACGAUACAUUAAUUUCUUGUAACAGAACAUGAUAUUUUUGUUUGUUUAAUCACAAGAACCAGGGUGGCACUUAAGCUGGUGAGUUAGCCAUAUAUUCAUAAGAGAAUGUUAUCUUUUGAAAAAGGAAUAGGGCACAUAUACAUACAUUGACAAUUCUUGCAGUUCUGUUCUGUUGGAGAAAGGUACAUGGAAAUAUCCUACCUUAUGUAUUUUUUCAGGGUUCUCACCAAUGAAAUAAUGUGUAAUUAGAGUGGCAGGACUUUCCAGGUUUGUUGCAGUAUGCUCUCGUGUGCUUGACAGUGACACUCUUGCAUGUCCCCUGAAGGAACAUGAACCAUUGUGAAAUGUGAUCAACAGGUUUUCGUCUUCAGUCAAUAUAAUGUACAAAAAUACAAAAUAAAUGCAGAUCAUCACCAGCUUUGGAUCUGACAUCCUUGAUCAUUUUGAUGGGUUUCUGAAUAUACAGUCAGUAUAGGUCCUUAUGUUCUUUGUUUGACAGUAGCGUUGAGAGCUUUAAGGGCAGAUUCUCCAAUAUGUAGUGAACUUGCAAUUACAUACAUGUACAUGGGUGUAUGUAAUGGUAGAUGUUUAUUCUUAACCUCAGAAUCCAAAUGCCCACACAGGCGAAAUAUUUAGUUGUGAAAGACGCAAACCACACAUGCCUGACCUGCAUCGUUUCCUUCUCCCUUCAGUGUCAUAUUAUUCUGUACUCUUUGUAGAAAGACCAAAUUUUAUGGCUGCAAUGUUUGCAAGUUCUUUUUGGAGUAGGUGGGAAGCAUACCUGGCUCUGUACCAAAAUAUACUUGGCUGUUUCCUAUUCAGGAGUGUUUCUCUUUUUAUACCAAAUAUACACGACUAUGGGUGAAGAUUGGGGAACUUUUCAUACCAAAUAUACACGACUGUGGGUGAAGUUUGGGGAACUUUUCAUACCAAGUAUGCACGACUAUUGGUGAAGUUUGGGGAACUUUUCAUACCAAGUAUGCACGACUAUGGGUGAAGAUUGGGGAACUUUUCAUACCAAAUAUACACGACUGUGGGUGAAGUUUGGGGAACUUUUCAUACUAAGUAUACACGACUACGGGUGAAGAAUGGGGAACUUCGGUAUCAAAUAGUAAUUCAGUUAUAUCACCACAAUCACAGGCCAAAGGGCAGAGAUGUUUACCACUAUGGUGAAACAAGCAUGGAGGAUAUUCUGUGAAUGGAACCAGUGUGGCCCCUCGAAGCAGAUGGGCUGUUGCUGACAGUAUCUUCUGCUUGUGCACUUGCCACAAACUUAUUGACAUGCACUUCAACAACCAAAAUGGAUUUUAUUCAUUCAUAUUUAUGGAUUACUUUUAUAACUAUUCAUCAUCAUACAAAGUAUCAAGAAUGUGUUAUGGUAACCAUGGUAACUGGAGUACAGAGUGGUCACAUGGCAUCAUGUCUAACUUAUUUCUCCAUCAAUUAUCUCUCUCUGAUGACUGUGAAUGUCAGUACUUGAGAGGAGCAUUACUGUGGGUAGCUACUGUAAAUCUUGAAAUUAACGCGAGCCUGAAUUAAAUGUGACAAAAUGCGAGUGAUCUUUGCUUGCAUCAAUAAACUUCACAUUUAUGUCUCCAAAAUGACUAUCAACAAUAAGACAGCCUCACUGCACACUUUGGAUAGUGGAAAUACCAGCUUGAAUGUAAACAAGGUUUAUUAAGCAGCAGUUAUAACACGUACAUAACAAUGUCAUUCAAAGAAUAGGAAGUACACAAUGGGCAUCUGGUGAGUUAUCACUGCUCGGCUCACAAGUUCUACCCAUGUCAAACUUGUUGACACCUUCUCCGCAUACCAAUCAGUGAACUCUUGUUGGUUCAAUUAUUUUAUUGAACUUCCUUAAUGCCUGUCAACAGAGUAAAAAAAUAAACUGCAUGUUGUUUUUUAGGAAAACACUGUUUAUUGUUUUUACAGAAGAGCUCUACUCAGUGCUAAUAAGCGGUGCUAUUUGCUGUUUGAUUGGAUAAAGGUAAGGAUAUGUAUCAUUCCACUGGGGAUGGUGUACAAGAGACGAAUUGAUAUUGAGUCGCAUUUUUGGCUAGGGGUCAGCAGUCGCAUUAAUUUGGAGACGCAUUAAUUUGGAGAUUUACAGUAUAUGUUGUAAUACAUGCAGAGGUACAAGCUGACCAGAACUCACACCUAAAUCCUGACAAGAGAUCACAGACAGCUUGGGUAGUGGAUGCUUAACAUAUCAAAACAAUUCCUCAGCUGUAUAGUUUUGUCUCAAGCUGCUGUCCUAAUACAGUUAUGUCACAAAUAGGAUUCAUUGAUGCAGUUCAAAAAUUGCUGCCAGUGAUCAGCAGGUAUUAAACAAUUUGUUGACAAA